rnacentral:rRNA from 1 species
ACGGGAGGCAGCAGUGGGGGAUAUUGCACAAUGGGGGAAACCCUGAUGCAGCGACGCCGCGUGAGUGAAGAAGUAUUUCGGUAUGUAAAGCUCUAUCAGCAGGGAAGAAAAUGACGGUACCUGACUAAGAAGCUCCGGCUAAAUACGUGCCAGCAGCCGCGGUAAUACGUAUGGAGCAAGCGUUAUCCGGAUUUACUGGGUGUAAAGGGAGCGUAGACGGUUAAGCAAGUCUGAAGUGAAAGGUGUGGGCUCAACCCGCAAACUGCUUUGGAAACUGUUUAACUAGAGUAUCGGAGAGGUAAGUGGAAUUCCUAGUGUAGCGGUGAAAUGCGUAGAUAUUAGGAGGAACACCAGUGGCGAAGGCGGCUUACUGGACGAUAACUGACGUUGAGGCUCGAAAGCGUGGGGAGCAAACAGGAUUAGAUACCCUGGUA